CUACGGGUGGCUGCAGCUGAGGAUCUUUUACAAUGCACGCAAGUGUGAUAAAGCGAGCCAGAGUGUUGUUCUUAGAACAACUUUUGUUUGCUGUAAAAAGGCAGACGAAUAAGGACUGGGUAAGACCGGUGCCAGCCGCCGCGGUAAUACCGGCGGUCCAAAUUGCAUCCAUUUUUAUUAGGUCUAAAACAUCCGUAGCUUGUUUUGUAAGUUUCUUGUGAAAUCUUAUGUCUCAAACAUGAGGCUUGCAAGAAAUACUGCAUUGCUAGAGACCGGAAGACGUAAGGAGUAUGAUUGAGGUAGCGGUAAAAUGCGUUAAUCUUAAUCAGACUAACAAUGGCGAAGGCACCUUACGAGUACGGAUCUGACAGUGAGGGAUGAAGGCUAGGGGCGCAAAACGGAUUAGAUACCCCCGUAGUC
rnacentral:rRNA from 1 species